AACGAACGCUGGCGGCAGGCCUAACACAUGCAAGUCGAGCGAGCAUUUCGGUGCUAGCGGCGGACGGGUGAGUAACGCGUGGGAACGUGCCCUUUUCUGCGGAAUAGUCCUGGGAAACUGGGGGUAAUACCGCAUACGCCCUUUUGGGGAAAGAUUUAUCGGAGAAGGAUCGGCCCGCGUUGGAUUAGGUAGUUGGUGGGGUAAUGGCCCACCAAGCCGACGAUCCAUAGCUGGUUUGAGAGGAUGAUCAGCCACACUGGGACUGAGACACGGCCCAGACUCCUACGGGAAGCAGCAGUGGGGAAUCUUAGACAAUGGGGGCAACCCUGAUCUAGCCAGGCCGCGUGAGUGAUGAAGGCCUUAGGGUUGUAAAGCUCUUUCAGCUGGGAAGAUAAUGACGGUACCAGCAGAAGAAGCCCCGGCUAACUCCGUG
rnacentral:rRNA from 1 species